rnacentral:rRNA from 1 species
GGGGUCUUGCUUUUUGCGAGCCCUAUCAUGGCGAAUGUUUGGACUUCGGUCUGGGCUAGUAGCUUUUUGUUUUAAACCCAUUCUACAAUACUGAUUAUACUGUGGGGACGAAAGUCUCUGCUUUUAACUAGAUAGCAACUUUCAGCAGUGGAUGUCUAGGCUCGCACAUCGAUGAAGAACGCUGCGAACUGCGAUACGUAAUGCGAAUUGCAGGAUUCAGUGAGUCAUCGAAAUUUUGAACGCAUAUUGCACUUCCGGGUUAGUCCUGGGAGUAUGCCUGUAUCAGUGUCCGUACAUCAAACUUGGCUUUCUUCCUUCCGUGUAGUCGGUGGAGGAUGUGCCAGAUGUGAAGUGUCUUGCGGGUGUCCUUCGGGUCGUCUGCGAGUCCUUUGAAAUGUACUGAACUGUACUUCUCUUUGCUCGAAAAGCGUGGUGUUGCUGGUUGUGGAGGCUGCCUGCGUGGCCAGUCGGCGACCGGUUUGUCUGCUGCGGCGUUUAAUGGAGGAGUGUUCGAUUCGCGGUAUGGUUGGCUUCGGCUGAACAGGCGCUUAUUGUAUGCUUUUCCUGCUGUGGCGUGAUGGGCUGGUGAACCGUAGCUGUGUGUGGCUUGGCUUUUGAAUCGGCUUUGCUGUUGCGAAGUAGAGUGACGGCUUCGGCUGUCGAGGGUCGAUCCAUUUGGGAACUUUGUGUGCACCUCGGUGCGCAUCUCAAUUGGAC